rnacentral:misc_RNA from 1 species
UUUCCGUAGGUGAACCUGCGGAAGGAUCAUUAAAGAACGCCCCGUUUUUUGAAAUGGGUAAUUCUAAACCGUGUAUACAUACCUUUGUUGCUUUGGCAGGCCGCCCCUCAGGGCGUCGGCUCCGGCCGACUGCGCCUGCCAGAGGACCCAAACUCUUUUGUUUAGUGAUGUCUGAGUACUAUAUAAUAGUUAAAACUUUCAACAACGGAUCUCUUGGUUCUG